GCUUUCUCAUGGGGACCGGAGAACUGGUUUGCCUGUGUGUGCAGGACCCGGGGCUGGACUGAGCAACCCACAGAGAAUUGUGGGGACCCCAGUCUGCCCUGGGAGUGGCCUUGGAGGUGGAAAAUGCUGGCAAAACUUCUUGGCGAGUCAGGGACGACUUCCUGGUGGAGGUGAUGUCUAAGUUCAGGCCUGAACGGUGAGGAGACAGAGACUAUGUAACUCACCUACAGCCAGGAUGCCAGACCAAGACGCAUGCCCAAACAAUCUGGCUCCAGAGCCUGUGCUUUUCUCCACAGCGCCCAUCUGCCGCCUGGACCUGGCUCAUGGCCCAGCAGUUUGUGACCUCUGGUAGAACGAAGAUCUUCAGGAAAGCAACGUGCUGUGCUAAGGGGCCACAUUUCCCAAUUCCCCGUGCACCCGGGGGUGGCCAAUGAGGAGCAAGCGAAAGCUGCAGGGGAAGCUCAGGAACAAGCGUGCAGGAAAGCUCUGUGUUAGAGCGUGGACUGCCUCAGCUGGGAGCACGACUCCCGCAGACCCAGAGACUCCAAUAUGCAACCAGGAUGUCCCACAGAACCCUCCAGCUCGGUGGCCUGCAAGGGUCUCCUCACGUGAUUUCGCCCCCGCAGCUCAGCUGGUGCAUCUUCUUCUGCCUGCUUGGCCAAGUUGCAAGCCCAGAACUCAUCCUCGUUUUCGUCUUCCCCCCCUUCCCCCCUCAACUCCUCCUAGGCAAUCACUCAUCAGGAUCUAGCAGUUUACUGUUUCACACCCAUUAGGGUGAUGGCUGUUAUCAAGACCCAGAAAUGACAAGUGUUGGUGAGGCUGUGGAGAAAUUGGAAGCCUUGUGCAUUGCUGAGUGGGAAUGUGACGUGGUGCAGCCACUGUGGAAGACAGAAUGGUGAUUCCUCAAAAAGUUAGGCACAGAAUUGCCAUAUGAUCCAGCAAUUCCACUUCUAAGUAAAUGCUCCAAAGAAUUGAGAGAAGAGUCUCAAUGAGAUAGUUGUACAGUUACGUUCAUAGCAGCAUUAUUCACAAUAGCCAAAAGGUGGAAGCUGCCCACACGUCUACUGGCAGAUGAAUGGAGAAGCAAAAUGUGGUGUGUCCACACAACUCAGCCUUCAGAAGGAAAUUUGAAACAUGCUGCAACAUGGAUGAACCUUGAAGGCAUCAUGCUAAGUGAAAUAAGCCAGUCACAAAAGGACAAGUGGAACUGGAGGAUUCUACUUCAAUGAGGUACUAAGUAAGUCCUCACUUAAUGUCAUCAAUAGGGUCUUAGAAACUGCAACAUUAAACAAAAUGAGCAUAAUGAGACCAAUUUUACCACGGCUAAUGGACAUAAACGAGAGUUAAAUUCAUACAGCAUAUUUCUGGUCACAGAAACAUCAGCAAACUUCUAAUAUUAGAUAUUAAAACAAAUGUGAGAAUGCACUUAAGGAAGGGAGAUUAAUAAAAACAAGAUCCUUAUUUUCUAACACACUUAUUCCAGCUCAGGGUUUCGGGUGGCCGGAGCCUCUCCCUGCAGCCCAGGACACCAGGUGGGAGCCCGCCCUGGACGGGGCACACCGUGCACCCCUACUCCCACUCAGACGGGGGCAAUGCAGGCAGGCUAGUCCACCUCACACACACGUCUUCGGGAUGCAGUGGGAAGCCGGAGGCCCCAGAGAAAACCCACGCAGGCAUGGGGAGAAUAAACCACGCAGACAGUGGCCCAGCCAGGUGUUGGGUUUUUUUCCCUCAUCAA